GCGGGAAUGGCGGAACGGUAGACGCACGGGACUUAAAAUCCCGAGCUGGAUAACAGCGUGAGGGUUCGAGUCCCUCUUCCCGUACCA
rnacentral:tRNA from 1 species